rnacentral:rRNA from 1 species
GAUGAACGCUAGCGGCAGGCUUAACACAUGCAAGUCGAGGGGUAACAUUUUGUGCUUGCACAAAGAUGACGACCGGCGCACGGGUGCGUAACGCGUAUACAAUCUGCCUCAUACUGAGGGAUAGCCUUUGGAAACGAAGAUUAAUACCUCAUGGUAUCAUUAGAUGGCAUCAUUUAGUGAUUAAAGGUUACGGUAUGAGAUGAGUAUGCGUCCUAUUAGCUUGUUGGUAAGGUAACGGCUUACCAAGGCGACGAUAGGUAGGGGCCCUGAGAGGGGGAUCCCCCACACUGGUACUGAGACACGGACCAG